CGUUGUCGGCCAUCUACUCCUCCCAGAUGCGAUGCCGGCCAAAGCGAACUCACCUCCUCCCGGGUUCGCCUCAAUAGAGCCCGCUGCACCUCCUCCCGCAGCGGGCUUUUUUU
rnacentral:sRNA from 1 species